ensembl:snoRNA LOC120101302 small nucleolar RNA SNORA17
CCUGGCCUUUCAGGCACUGCAGAUGUCGCUGCUGUGUCAUAUGUGUGUCAAUAGGUGGCAGAGAUGAGAGACGCUCUGACUAUGCUCAGUGUUCUGACCUAGGAACAUCCGAAUGAUCAAUGGCCUAACAUU